UUGAACGCUGGCGGCAGGCCUAACACAUGCAAGUCGAACGGUAACAGAAAGCAGCUUGCUGCUUUGCUGACGAGUGGCGGACGGGUGAGUAAUGUCUGGGAAACUGCCCGAUGGAGGGGGAUAACUACUGGAAACGGUAGCUAAUACCGCAUAACGUCGCAAGACCAAAGAGGGGGACCUUCGGGCCUCUUGCCAUCGGAUGUGCCCAGAUGGGAUUAGCUAGUAGGUGGGGUAACGGCUCACCUAGGCGACGAUCCCUAGCUGGUCUGAGAGGAUGACCAGCCACACUGGAACUGAGACACGGUCCAGACUCCUACGGGAGGCAGCAGUGGGGAAUAUUGCACAAUGGGCGCAAGCCUGAUGCAGCCAUGCCGCGUGUAUGAAGAAGGCCUUCGGGUUGUAAAGUACUUUCAGCGGGGAGGAAGGGAGUAAAGUUAAUACCUUUGCUCAUUGACGUUACCCGCAGAAGAAGCACCGGCUAACUCCGUGCCAGCAGCCGCGGUAAUACGGAGGGUGCAAGCGUUAAUCGGAAUUACUGGGCGUAAAGCGCACGCAGGCGGUUUGUUAAGUCAGAUGUGAAAUCCCCGGGCUCAACCUGGGAACUGCAUCUGAUACUGGCAAGCUUGAGUCUCGUAGAGGGGGGUAGAAUUCCAGGUGUAGCGGUGAAAUGCGUAGAGAUCUGGAGGAAUACCGGUGGCGAAGGCGGCCCCCUGGACGAAGACUGACGCUCAGGUGCGAAAGCGUGGGGAGCAAACAGGAUUAGAUACCCUGGUAGUCCACGCCGUAAACGAUGUCGACUUGGAGGUUGUGCCCUUGAGGCGUGGCUUCCGGAGCUAACGCGUUAAGUCGACCGCCUGGGGAGUACGGCCGCAAGGUUAAAACUCAAAUGAAUUGACGGGGGCCCGCACAAGCGGUGGAGCAUGUGGUUUAAUUCGAUGCAACGCGAAGAACCUUACCUGGUCUUGACAUCCACGGAAGUUUUCAGAGAUGAGAAUGUGCCUUCGGGAACCGUGAGACAGGUGCUGCAUGGCUGUCGUCAGCUCGUGUUGUGAAAUGUUGGGUUAAGUCCCGCAACGAGCGCAACCCUUAUUGCCAGUUACUACGUUAAGAGGACUCUGGCGAGACUGCCGUUGACAAAACGGAGGAAGGUGGGGAUGACGUCAAAUCAUCAUGGCCCUUACGACCAGGGCUACACACGUGCUACAAUGGCGCAUACAAAGAGAAGCGACCUCGCGAGAGCAAGCGGACCUCAUAAAGUGCGUCGUAGUCCGGAUUGGAGUCUGCAACUCGACUCCAUGAAGUCGGAAUCGCUAGUAAUCGUGGAUCAGAAUGCCACGGUGAAUACGUUCCCGGGCCUUGUACACACCGCCCGUCACACCAUGGGAGUGGGUUGCAAAAGAAGUAGGUAGCUUAACCUUCGGGAGGGCGCUUACCACUUUGUGAUUCAUGACUGGGGUG
rnacentral:rRNA from 1 species